UAACUGGUCUUUUUUUGUUUUUUUUUUGGUAUGUUGAACAAGGAGAUGGACUAAGUUCAACAUACUUAACUGGUCCAAUCCAUCUCUAAACAAACAAAAAAAAAAAAAAAAAAAUUAUCAAUUUAUAAACAAACAAAUUGGUCGUGCAAUACCAUGAUCAGCUGUUUUCCCAAGAAAAAAUAUUAAAUUAUUUAGGAAAAGAUGUAAAAAUUUUUUUUUGAAUAAACGCAAUUAUUAAAAUCAAGUAAAAAAGCUGUAAUUUGAAGAACGUUUUCGGAUUAAAAUUAUAAGAUUGCAUUUGUGGUUAGAAGACGGAAAAAUUGAAACGAUAUUAAUAGGAAAAAGAAACUAGUGAAAAUUGCCCAAAAACUCGAAAAGAAAAAUGUUUCGGAGUCGGAGUUGGUUUAGUGGCGCUUGGAAGAAACCAAAAACCGUUUAUCGUUGGAACAUCUAAAAUAUUUAUCUAGUAUUUUAGAAAGAAAUACAGCGGUAUCCGAGUGUAAUAGGGGUUUACUGGUAGAAGAGAAGUAUAGCAGUUCGGUUUUCCACUUUUUCCUAGAGAAAAAUAUGUUAUCAAACUUUUUGCAUAUAAUGCGUCAAAAAAGUGGAAGUUCCAGUUUUGUAUAUGUUCAAUUAUUACAAACUUUAAAAUAUACGUAAUGACACUUCAUUAUAUUAUUUGUUAAGUAACAAUCACGUAAACUCAAUAAUCGUGCAUAAAUUUGACUUUUCUAAUGAAGAUGUUAUGGGUUAUUAUAUUGCAUAUUUUAUUUGUAGCGAUGAUACAAGAACCGUCCGUAACAUUUAGUUACAUUUAUUUAAUAGAAAUAUGUAUUUUGCGCAUAGUAUGCAAAUAUUUUCAAACAUAUACGCAACGAUCUGAAUGUCAAGAAUGGCAAUAUUAAAUUACGAGAAAAAUGAUUAAAGUUAAAUAAUAAUCAAAUUACCUUUGGUUGCCAUUUAUUUUCAUUUUGCCAUAUAAGUCCAUUAAGAAACGAUUAACCCGUGUUCGCCCCAGCAGUCGAUAUAUUUUAUUUAAGUUCUCUUUAGCACUAAUAUGAGUUAUCGAAAGUCGAAAUCUUCACAAAACAAUAGCAAUAUAUCGGUGGCUACUUAUAUAUGUAGCAUAAUCGAGCUGAGUUGCCAUUGCUCAUCAGGCGAAAGGUUCGCGCAACUUCAUC